GAUGAACGCUGGCGGCGUGCCUAAUACAUGCAAGUCGAGCGAACGGACGAGAAGCUUGCUUCUCUGAUGUUAGCGGCGGACGGGUGAGUAACACGUGGAUAACCUACCUAUAAGACUGGGAUAACUUCGGGAAACCGGAGCUAAUACCGGAUAAUAUUUUGAACCGCAUGGUUCAAAAGUGAAAGACGGUCUUGCUGUCACUUAUAGAUGGAUCCGCGCUGCAUUAGCUAGUUGGUAAGGUAACGGCUUACCAAGGCAACGAUGCAUAGCCGACCUGAGAGGGUGAUCGGCCACACUGGAACUGAGACACGGUCCAGACUCCUACGGGAGGCAGCAGUAGGGAAUCUUCCGCAAUGGGCGAAAGCCUGACGGAGCAACGCCGCGUGAGUGAUGAAGGUCUUCGGAUCGUAAAACUCUGUUAUUAGGGAAGAACAUAUGUGUAAGUAACUGUGCACAUCUUGACGGUACCUAAUCAGAAAGCCACGGCUAACUACGUGCCAGCAGCCGCGGUAAUACGUAGGUGGCAAGCGUUAUCCGGAAUUAUUGGGCGUAAAGCGCGCGUAGGCGGUUUUUUAAGUCUGAUGUGAAAGCCCACGGCGUCAACCGUGGAGGGUCAUUGGAAACUGGAAAACUUGAGUGCAGAAGAGGAAAGUGGAAUUCCAUGUGUAGCGGUGAAAUGCGCAGAGAUAUGGAGGAACACCAGUGGCGAAGGCGACUUUCUGGUCUGUAACUGACGCUGAUGUGCGAAAGCGUGGGGAUCGAACAGGAUUAGAUACCCUGGUAGUCCACGCCGUAAACGAUGAGUGCUAAGUGUUAGGGGGUUUCCGCCCCUUAGUGCUGCAGCUAACGCAUUAAGCACUCCGCCUGGGGAGUACGACCGCAAGGUUGAAACUCAAAGGAAUUGACGGGGACCCGCACAAGCGGUGGAGCAUGUGGUUUAAUUCGAAGCAACGCGAAGAACCUUACCAAAUCUUGACAUCCUUUGACAACUCUAGAGAUAGAGCCUUCCCCUUCGGGGGACAAAGUGACAGGUGGUGCAUGGUUGUCGUCAGCUCGUGUCGUGAGAUGUUGGGUUAAGUCCCGCAACGAGCGCAACCCUUAAGCUUAGUUGCCAUCAUUAAGUUGGGCACUCUAAGUUGACUGCCGGUGACAAACCGGAGGAAGGUGGGGAUGACGUCAAAUCAUCAUGCCCCUUAUGAUUUGGGCUACACACGUGCUACAAUGGACAAUACAAAGGGCAGCGAAACCGCGAGGUCAAGCAAAUCCCAUAAAGUUGUUCUCAGUUCGGAUUGUAGUCUGCAACUCGACUACAUGAAGCUGGAAUCGCUAGUAAUCGUAGAUCAGCAUGCUACGGUGAAUACGUUCCCGGGUCU
rnacentral:rRNA from 1 species